rnacentral:rRNA from 1 species
CCUACGGGAGGCAGCAGUGGGGAAUAUUGCACAAUGGGGGGAACCCUGAUGCAGCGACGCCGCGUGGGUGAAGGAGUAUUUCGGUAUGUAAAGCCCUAUCAGCAGGGAAGAACAAUGACGGUACCUGACUAAGAAGCACCGGCUAAAUACGUGCCAGCAGGCGCGGUAAUACGUAUGGUGCAAGCGUGAUCCGGAUUUACUGGGUGUAGAGGGAGCGCAGGCGGCGCGUUAAGCCUGGUGUGAAAGUCCGCGGCCCAACCGCGGGACUGCAUUGGGAACUGGCGCGCUGGAGUGCCGGAGGGGUAGGCGGAAGUCCUGGUGUAGCGGUGAAAUGCGGAGAUAUUAGGAGGAACACCAGUGGCGAAGGCGGCCUACUGGACGGUGACUGACGCUGAGGCUCGAAAGCGUGGGGAGCAAACAGGAUUAGAUACCCUAGUAGUC